UACGUAGGGUGCAAGCGUUGUCCGGAACUAUUGGGCGUAAAGAGCUUGUAGGCGGUUUGUCGCGUCUGCUGUGAAAUUUCGGGGCUCAACCCCGAACUUGCAGUGGGUACGGGCAGACUAGAGUGUGGUAGGGGGAGACUGGAAUUCCUGGUGUAGCGGUGAAAUGCGCAGAUAUCAGGAGGAACACCGAUGGCGAAGGCAGGUCUCUGGGCCACUACUGACGCUGAGAAGCGAAAGCAUGGGGAGCGAACAGG
rnacentral:rRNA from 1 species